UCUCCCUUGCAUUCCAUACAUCCUAGUUUGAUCCUUGUCUCGUGAAGAAAUGGCAGCUAAGUCCGGCAUAUCGAUGAUGGCCACUCUUCUCAUCUUGGCUCUGGUACUCUCUCCGGUGUUGCCAACUGAGGCAGCUCGCUUCACUAAUAAUGAGCUCUUUGGACGAACAUUAUUACAAGAGGAAAUCAUUUGCCCAGCGUGUGUAUGUUGCACCCCUGCUCCACCCGGCGAAUGUUGCGAAUGUUGUGCUUCUCCCAUCGAAACUGAAGCUCGGACUCCAUGAAGAAGCAUCGUCGCUUUCACUCGGGAGGAUGGAUAGAAUUGGUGGUGUCAUCCAGUUUAAUAAGAUCGAUCGGAAGAUCAAUGUUUAAUGAAAUAAUAAUGCCGCAGAGAGCAUUACACCUGUUCUGUAGCAAGAUUUAUUAGGUCCAUGAAUAUUUAUGGUUCUUCUGUUUCUAUUUGCCUUGAAUA